UAAACAUUGGAUUUAUAUAUACAUGUCUUUGUAUUUCUUUGGAUUCUUCUACAGAUCUCUCAUCUCCUACAGAAACGAUGACACCACAAACCCUACCUCCACGACAGGGUAACCUCACAGAUACUUGGGCAGAUUCAGUGGAUGGGGAUACCUUCUGUGAAGAGCAGGAAUAUUCAGAUUAUGGUGGGACACAGUCUGAGAAGUUGAACAAUGAAGGUAAGGUCCAGAAAGGUGAAGAGAUCCAGAGCGAGGACAUUGACCACGAGUCUGAGGACAGCAUAGUUGAAGAACUAAGCCAAGAUGAUCAGAGUGACAUUCACAUUGAGACGGAACAUUUAGUGGAGGUUGAAAACAACAUCAGCAGCUUCACCAAUAUGAGGAAACCAGCGGCAAGCGCAGCAGUCCAUGAGGACCAGUCUGGGCAACAGUCAACUAAGCCGAAAAACAUGGCAAAGGAACAGAAGGAUGGUGAUAUUAAGGCAGAAAUAUUGACAGUGGAAGAACAAGGGAAGAGAGUUCAAGAAAACAGUCAGGAGCAUAACACAAAACAGGAGCAAGAGACAAUGAAGUUAAAUAUGGGCAGAGAAAGAAUGGAAGAAGAGAUAAAGAUGAUGGAUGCAGAACAUGAGAAUGCCACUAUGUCAAGGAGACUGGAAGAGAAGAGUAUGAGUGCUCUGGAAGAAGAGGAGAGGAGGAGGGUAAAGGAGGAAGUUGGGACAGAAAUGGUGAAAGGACAUCCCUCCUCUGCAGAAAAGUUAGACCCUGAUGAUAAAAUCUUGAGAAUCGCUGAAGAAUGUGAAAAAGAAGGAAAGAAAGGCAGGAAUAAAGAACCUAUGAUGAAGCCUGAAAAGACAGCACAUGCAAAUUCAGAGAAUAUUCUACUGAAGUCACCAUUAGAAGGAGAUCACCUCUCUCCCAUCGUGGAAAAGUCAAAACCUUUGGCACCAUUACAAGACAUGUGCAAGCAUCAGCUAGAUGAUGGUUCUAAUGCAGCAAUGAGGAAGCAAAAGAAAAAGGCAAAAGACACAAGAAAAAGAAACAAACACGCUGAAAAAAGGAAAUACAACGAGGUAAAAAGAUUGGAAAUGGACAGGGACACAACGGAGAAGGAGAACAAGAAGAUGGUUGAAGAAAAAAAGAAAGCCGAGCUGAUUAAGAGACUGGAGGAGGAGAGACUGAAGGCUUUGGCAGAAGUGAUAGAAAUGUUGAAAGCAAAAAAAGCGUAUCGAAUGUAAACACUAUCGGAAGGGCCUUCUUCUGGACAAGAUAAUCAGAGACCUGAGACCAAUGACAUCAUUCCAGAUACUCACUUCACACAGUAUUAUAUUUGAUCUUCUUUCACAUUCUUUUUUUUCAAGUGACAGCUAUUUUUGACAAUUUGCCUUGAAGACACCCUAUAAUGAAAUAAACAAAUAAAGUAAGUUUGAGCCAAAAGGUAGUUUUAGUGUCAUGUUUUAAAUAUGACCAGAACAGAGCACAGAAUUCAAUAGAGUCAGAUGUCAUUAGACAUCCCAAUCCAAAGUCAAAAUCCAAUCCAAAAAAGAUAUCAACCUAGAGCAAAUAAUAAAUCAAUGAGGAUUCAGGAAUCAUAGUAAAAAGGGCCAGACAAAAGUCUGAAUAAACCAGAACACAAGACCUCACAAAGACAGAGAAAAGAGAAGUUUAAAUACACUGGCAGACAAGGAAUAGGUGAAGACCAUUGACAUGACAAGGUGAGCGGAAGAGUCCAUUAGAGAGGAGAGGGGAGCAAUGAGUUUCAGUAAGCAAAACUUGGUUUAAUGUUAUUGAUACGAUCAUGGACGGAUUAUGAAACCAUGUAAAAGGCCUUGACUUGACUUGACUUGACUAUAUAAUUUUGUUAUAGAUUGCUAUUGACUAUUUCCCUCCCCCAAAAUAAUGAAAACCAUGAUAGAGAUAGGUUUGCCAUUUCGAGGGGAUAUAUAGCAUAAGGUACUCUUUAAGUUGUAUUAUAAUUCAUCUUUGAUCACAGACGUGUUACAAAACGACGCUGUCAAACAGCCACCUCCGAGAAACGUAUCGACAGUGGUCCCACUUUGCCCACGGGCUCCAGUGCAACCGCUCUGCCUGCGCAAUUUUUUGUCUUUUACACCCCUG
ensembl:lncRNA